rnacentral:rRNA from 1 species
CCUACGGGUGGCAGCAGUGAGGAAUAUUGGUCAAUGGGCGCAAGCCUGAACCAGCCAAGUCGCGUGAGGGAUGAAGGUUCUAUGGAUCGUAAACCUCUUUUAUAAGGGAAUAAAGUGUGGGACGUGUCCUAUUUUGUAUGUACCUUAUGAAUAAGGAUCGGCUAACUCCGUGCCAGCAGCCGCGGUAAUACGGAGGAUCCGAGCGUUAUCCGGAUUUAUUGGGUUUAAAGGGUGCGUAGGCGGGCCUUCAGGCCGGCGGUAAAAUUGCGGGGCUCAACCCCGCCGAGCCGUCGGAACCGGGGGCCUUGAGUACCGGAGAAGUACGCGGAAUGCGUGGUGUAGCGGUGAAAUGCAUAGAUAUCACGCAGAACCCCGAUUGCGAAGGCAGCGUACCGGCCGGUCACUGACGCUGAGGCACGAAAGCGCGGGUAUCGAACAGGAUUAGAUACCCUUGUAGUC